UACAGAGACUGCAAGCGUUAUUCGGAUUCACUGGGCGUAAAGGGUGCGCAGGCGGCCGUGUGUGUGAGGCGUGAAAGCCCGAUGCUUAACAUCGGAAUUGCACCUCAAACUACACGGCUAGAGCAUUGGAGAGGGUAGCGGAAUUCACGGUGUAGCAGUGAAAUGCGUAGGUAUCGUGAGGAACACCAGAGGCGAAGGCGGCUACCUGGACAAUUGCUGACGCUCAGGCACGAAAGCGUGGGGAGCAAAAGGG
rnacentral:rRNA from 1 species